GUGCAAGCCGUCCGCUAUACACAUAGCAUUCGGUGAAACCGCGAAAGGCUCAUUAAAUCAGUUAUGGUUCCUUAGAUUGUGCCCACGUUACUUGGAUAACUGUGGUAAUUCUAGAGCUAAUACAUGCCGACAGAGUUCUGACCAGCGCCGGGCGGGCACGCACAUACAUUCGCGCCGCCGCGUGUACGGUUUACAACAAUGUGCCGCCACACGCCUCCGCGUUGUGUGCGCCGCGUGUCCGGAGUUCGGAAGGAACGCUCUUAUUAGAUCAAAACCGGCCAAGCGGGGCGGUGGGAUGGUUGGUAAUGCGCGCGGCGUUUGACAUACACGCACGCACACACUGCGCAUAUACUGGCGCGCAUCAUUUGUUGUGCCAGUGCGUGUAUGUGUGUGUGUGUAUGCGCGCGUACGCGUGUGUCUUCGUCCCCCCCACCCCGUAAGUGGCCCGCGCAAAGACUUGACGACUCUGAAUAAUUUCUAGCUGAUCGCACGGUCGAAGAAAAAGCACCGGCGACGUAUCUUUCAAAUGUCUGCCUUAUCAACUGUCGACGGUAGGUUCGACGCCUACCGUGGUGGUAACGGGUAACGGGGAAUCAGGGUUCGAUUCCGGAGAGGGAGCCUGAGAAACGGCUACCACAUCUACGGAAGGCAGCAGGCGCGCAAAUUACCCACUCCCAGCUCGGGGAGGUAGUGACGAAAAAUAACGAUACGGGACUCAUCCGAGGCCCCGUAAUCGGAAUG
rnacentral:rRNA from 1 species